AAAGUCGUAACAAGGUUUCCGUAGGUGAACCUGCGGAAGGAUCAUUACUGGAAAUAUUCGAGGUUGUAGCUGGCCUUCCGGGGUAAAUGUGCUCGCCUUGAUUCAAAUCCAUCUAACACCUGUGCACUUAAUGUAGUCUAUUGGGGGUGUUACCUUCGGGAAAAACCCCUUAUUAGAUCUACGUCUUUCACACAUACACUUUAAAAAAGUUUAGAAUGUCAUAAUUGUGAUAAAUAUAUAUACACAUUUAAAACAACUUUCAACAACGGAUCUCUUGGCUCUC
rnacentral:misc_RNA from 1 species